rnacentral:lncRNA from 1 species
AUUCCUCUGCCUGCCUGCAUCAUCUUACAUCACAGGCCAGAUCAUUUGUGUCGAUGGUGGGAUGUCUGUGAAUGGUUUCUACCCAAGACAUGACUAGAAGCAGCAAUCUAUAGCCCACCCCUCCUUUUUUUGCUUGUUGGGGAAUGGUUAUCUGUCAGUCAGGGGAUGAUUUUUGAGUUCAAGACUAGAACAAGACCAAGUCUGCAGUUCAAGCUCUAUGAGACUCUUAUCAAGUGAGGCAUGAGUAUCUUCCUUCCACAUUGUGGUACUGCCAGAUUUCUGAAAUGUGCUGAAAUGUGUUAGAGAAUCAGAGAUUCAUAUGUUUUUGUUAUUCAUAUGGAUUCUGAUCCUCAAAAGUUUUCUUAAACCUUACAAUGGCUGAGAAGCUGGAUUAUAAUUCCUUCUCUACCUUUGUCCAACCCCAGUUGUAUUAUUAUCCAGUGUUUUGCAAUUGUGAAGCUAUUUUUUCCUACCUUCCUUCAAUUCCAACUCUCCACUUGGGCAUGCUUGGUUUCCAAGAAAAUGAUUAAGCAAGUUCCUCUCCUUACCUUAUUUUGGUGGUACGUGUAGUGGUUGUGAGAGGUUUGGUUUAAACAUUGGGUUAUGGAGUUUUUUUGUCUAUCCUUUUAUUUUUUAAUUUUUAAUUUUUUUUUAAAUGUAAAUAAAUGAAGAGGAAACAAGAAGGGUGCAUAAAGGGCAGUGGGACCAAUACCUCAAGGCUCUUGUUUGAAAUGUUUGUCUAAUGAAAACUACUUUUGGCCAAUGAUGAGGGUUUGAUAGGCAAGGUUUAAAAUUUGUUACUUUUCUUUUUCAUGAUGUGACAUCAUUUUGGUUUUAUGUGCUGUCAUUGCUUCUACUCUUAUUGAUAGCCAAAGAAUACUCCACAAACCAUAUUUAAUUCAUGUUUAUCUUAAAUUACAUAUUCAAUUGGGAUAUUCAAACAGAGCUUGAAAGUGGUUUUAUUGGAAGUAUUUUUAAUUAUUAUUUUUAAAAAAAAUCAUCUAUCAAAGAUUCAAAUAUGUUUUUAAAAAAUAUUAUAAAUAAUUUUUAAUUUUUUAAUAAUAUUUUAAAAUUUUUAUCAAAUGCCUUAUUUUUCUCCAAAAAUACAUUUUAAUGUUAAAAAUGUUUUGAAAAAGUAAUAUCAAAUAGAAUUUAAGUUAUUUAUUUUAAUUUCCUUUACAUCCCAUCACCAUUAAAUAUAAUACAAAUUAUUAAGAGAAAACGUCACCACAGGCGUUUCUUCACAAGUGAAACAGGAACCAGAGUACAGGAACCUGUCUCUUGCUGUGAGUAUUAAUUAGCUAUUAACUCCACAACCAAACUUGGAUGUUUGAAAUGACAACUGGAAUUUAUCAGUUUUGUCUCUUUCUUUUCAGCUUCCUAGAAUCCUUUUUCUUUUUUCAAGGUAAACGUCAUUUGCUAUGUGGCUUCUGUUUGAUUUUCAGUUCAAAGAGUGGCAGAGUAGAGAAGAACCUAGGAGGCAUGGCAUAGACUGGCUGCAGCAAUGGAGAUGGUAGAUGGUCUCUCAAGGGAAUGACAGCCCUUGUAACGGGAGGAACUACUAACUAGAGGAAUCGGGUCUGUACACAUUCCCUGUUUUUCUGUUCUAGAAUGAACUUUGAUCUGUCUCUGCCAAUUAUCACCUUGUUUUUAUAUUAAUUCUGCAGGCAUGCUAUUGUGGAAGAACUGGCUGGGUUAGGUGCAAGAAUACACACAUGUUUUCGAACAGAAACUGAGCUUAAUGAAUACUUGAGGGAUUGGGAGGGUAAAGGUUUUGAAGUCACUGGCUCAGUCUGUGAUGUAUCCUCUAGGGCCCAAAGAGAGAAGCUAAUAGAGACAGUACCUUCUAAGUUUAAUGGGAAGCUGAAUAUCCUUGUUAGUUCCUCUAGUUUGUUAAAUGUGACACAUCCAUUUUAGAAUCAUUUUCACUAAAUAUAAUUGAUGAGUUACCCUAACUGAAUCUUUGAAUUUGGAUCAACAACGCUGGAACUGGCAAACCGGGACGGUCAGUGGAGUUCACAGCUGAAGAGUUCUCAACGGUCAUGGCUGUAAAUUUUGAAUCUGUGUACCAUCUAUGCCAACUUGCGCAUCCCCUUCUGAAGACCUCAGGAGCAGGAAGUAUUGUGCUCAUGUCUUCUGUUUCAGGUGUAGUAUCACUCAAGUAUCUGUCUGCCUAUGGAGCAACCAAAGGUACUUCAUGCCACCAUCAGGUUUAUGUUGCAGGUCCUGUGUUGUUGGACAAGAUGAUGGAUAUUUACCUUUAUAAUUUUUCUUUCAGGGCACUGAAUCAGCUUGCAAAGAACUUGGCAUGCGAGUGGGCGCAAGACAACAUCAGGACUAAUUCUGUUGCCCCUUGGUACAUCAAAACUUCUCUGGUAGAACCUGUGAGUUUAAUUCCCUUCACCUCAUUUAAAAGUUGCUGUUGUUUUCAUUGGGAAAACUGAUUAAUAAACUAAUCUUCUGUUUUACUUUCUUUUAUUUUUUUGGUUGUAUCAUUUGGUUUCGGUUUCUUAGUGAGAAAAGCUUUACGGAAGAGGUAAUAAGAACAACUUCGCUUGGUCGAGUGGGGGAUCCAAAGGAGGUGUCAUCCUUGGUAGCAUUCCUCUGCCUACCAGCAUUGUUGUUACCUCGCGUCUUUGGCGAUCCACGUAGUAGCCAGAUGGAUGGACGCGUGAUCUCAACUCAUAAAGGUCCUUGAUCCAGUCUUCAUUCCUGCAAGAAGGCAUCCGGACAGGGUAUCCGGACGCACCCUUCGAUGGUUUUGUUAGCCAUGGUCAGAGAGAGGAAUAUAAAUCAGUUGGCCUUUUACUAGGUAUUAAGAAGUUACCAGGAGGAUCCGCUUCUUCUUCGUGCGAAGGCAUAUAUAUACAGCUUCAGGGGUACUGUUCCUCUCAUUAAUGGCGAAGAGAUAUUUUAUGUUUGUCAUGAUGACAUUUGGAGGCAGCAUGGUCAUCGCCACCCUACUGGCGGCUGUCAGAAACCGUGGUAGGUGAUGCUGCUGUCUAGAUAUCGUGGGAAAUGAUCAUGUAGAAUGAUCGUGGGAAGUGACUUGUUGUCACCUCGACCCGUCCUUUCACUCUGCAGAUGAUGGGACGUGGGCCAUGGCUGGUUGUCGUGAUAGCGUGUAAGACUUGCUUUACUUUAAUUGAUGAUCCGGACGAUUAAAUCCGGAUGGUCACAUGCUGAUUAUCCGGAUUGUAUAGUGGAGCGGAUACAUUAUGAAGGUUGUCCGGAUGUCUAUGCUCUGUCAGCGUCGUUUGCUCUUCCUUGGACAGAAGAAGCUGAAACGUCAUGUGCUUUUCCUUGAGGCGGUCCGGAUAGGAGAACCAUCAUCAUGCGUAUCCUUAGGGGAAUCCGGAUGAUGAUGGUCCGACUGAUAACACGUGCUGCGUGUCACUGUGAGGUGCGUGCCACGUGUUUCCCAGAGGGAGGGGUCCCUACAUUGCCCCCCUUUUUAACUUGCCUAUUUUGCCAAAAAAUGGGCGGGUUAAAAAAUAACUGGCUUUUUGAAAAUUGAAGAGGUCUCUUCGUCUGACUGGGCCACGUGGCGAGUGGGGGUGCGGAAGCCAUAAAAGGCAUUUAUGAUGAGCCGCCGACUUUGGGAAUUCCCAGGCAGCAUGUUGUUUCAAUGAUAGCGCUGUUUGGACGUUUGGCUUUCCGAGGGCUGGUCCCCCUAUAAAUAGCGUACUGUACCUUCUUUUUCAUUUUUUCUACUGCAUUUAUCUGAGAGCCUUUCUUCUUCUUGCUUUUGUUGCGUCCUUUGCUUUUUCUGAGUAAAGAAACUCGAAAACACUUUUGUACCGGUGAUUUUGUGUCGCGACACUUGUUUGCUGCUGGUGUUCUUGUAUCGAAACGACGAUCUUUCUUCUUCAGAGCUUCAUUUGGUACGUGUACUUUUGCUAUUGCUGUUCCUUUUGUUGCGUUUUGUUGGUUUUUUGGUUUUGGUUUCUGAUUUGUUUGGGUUAGGGUUUGUGUAUUUUCUGGGUUACUUGUGUUUUACCCAUUGCACUUCUUGUGUGUAGUUUUGGGCUUGUGUUUGUGGUAAGAAAUGGCUGCAAAAAAGACUGUUUCAUCUUCCCGGGGUACCGAGGUUCGUGGAAAAGCGAUAGAUAAGUUGGACGUGAAGGAAUUCAGGGAACGGUUCUGUAUCCCAAAUGACGUGGCUAUCGAAUUGCUGAAUGGGAGGGUGCUUGUGCCUUCUGAGAAAGCAGAAGAAAAAACUAUCAUCUUCUCGAAGGAACAAUUCAACGCGGGGCUCUGGUUCCCUCUGCCGGCGUUGUUCAAGGAGUUCCUUCACUUCACCCAGAUUCCACCCGUCUUUAUUCAUCCCAACAUCGUCUGGGUGCUGAUGGGAUGCAACAUCAUAAACAUGCUGUACAACCUCGAUCUCACGCUGCUGAAGGUGUUUUUUGUGUAUUCUUUGAAGAAGGUAAAAAAUGACAUCUUCAGCAUGUCCGUACACCUGCCCUCCCUCCAACUGGUGACGGAGCUGCCAGAUUCGACAAAGGGAGGGGCGACGGGACACGUGGUGGUCCGGGGUGCAUGGGCGGGGUUUUUGGAGCAUUCGGCGAGGCCUUUCUCUCCAAACUACUCCUUGGUGGUUCCGGGUAGGUUUGCUUUGUGACUAUUGUCCGGCUUUUACUUUGUUGAUUUUUUUGUUGACUCUUCCGGAUGGCAUUCUCAUCUUUUGUUGCUAUUAAUGUAGGUCCGGAAUUAAGGGGCCACCUUGUGGACUGGGUGGAAAAGGCGUCCUUUGGCUGUCUCAGCAAAUUGUUCGAGAUAGACGCCAAGGAGAGGCAAUGCAAGACGCUGCUGACCGUGCGGAACCUGACGGCGGUCGUCCGGGAGCCCCGAGAAUAUGUCAUCAACAUUCUCCCCAGGAAGAUGCUAAAGGAAGUUGUUCCUGGGGAGCAUUAUACUGUGAAGGAUUUCCCGAUUUACGAGGCGUUAAAAGAGGCUGACGCUAAAAAACGCCGACUUCUCCUGGAGGAUCGGGAGAAGAAGAAGAACGAAGGGACCCUUCGGAAGGCUCCCGAACAGAAACGUGACGCAGACUCUCCUCCAGAGAAAAUUCCAGCGAAAAGGAGGAAGCUGGUGAAGAAAAAUGGGAAGGACUUGAAGGAGCCCAGUCCUCCCAUGGAAUUUGCUCCUCCGCCCAUUAUUCACGAGGCGGAGGUAAUGAUAGAGGAGCCAGUGAACACUGCCCCUCAUUCUAUCUCAAGCGGGUACGGACACCUUGCGGGGCUGAACCACUCAAGCACCUCCUUGGCAGCGGUUGCGCGUCUAGCGAAUUUGGUUGAGGAAGCUGCGUCUGUCAACCAUCCGGACUCCCGCAAUCCGGAUGCCGAUGCAGCUGAGGCCGUUUGCGCGACCCCCAUGGAGGAAGUGGGAGCAGAAAGCCAGAGUCAGCCCUCUAACGAUCCGGACCUGCUGGCUCUUGUUCUGGUGACGAGGCCAUCCUCAAAGAAGCCUCGCUCGGUGCGCGAUCUGAAGUCCGGACUCCACGGGCGGCUUCAAGAGCGGCAACAAGAGAUUGAAGUCAGUUGCUCAUCUACCCACGACGCUCAUCCGGAGGGGGGCGAAGUGGAGAUGGUAACUGAGGCUCCAUCCGUCCCGGUGGUGGUCCCGGCUGAGGUUGCACCUGGGGAGGCCCAUCGGGCCGGAAAUGUUGAGGUCCCUCACCCGGAACGAAAAUUGCCUUCUGCUGCUUCAUCCGGGGGUGGACCUGUUAAUGACGCAUCUUGCUCAUCCGAUAACUCUUUUAGUUAUGCGGAGUUGGAAGAUAAGCUGAAAGAGAUUCCACCCGGCUCCCCUGAUAUCAUGCCCUCAGCCCAGAUGUUCGAAAAUGUGGAAAUGGUAAAACUGUUUUUCGUGCUUUUUGAUUGUUUUAUCAUUUUGUUGUGUUGUUGUGGAAUGAUUUGUAACUUUGCAUUGCUUGUUUGUGUGUCAGCUGGUGAGUGGUCUCCGCGGCAUGGCCCAACACCACGAUCUCUUUUCUGAUUUGCUGCGGACCACUGAUUAUAUGAGGAUCUUUGCCUCUCGGCAUAAAGAAAGCGAAAACCAGCUGCGCCUGAAACUGGAAGAGGCUGAAGCUGGCUUAUCCACCAUUCGAAAAGAAAAUGAAGCCCUCCGGGUGGAUUUGGCCGAGGCAAAGAGUCGGGAGGAAUCAGCGGUCGACCGCCUGCAUGAGGCAGCAGAUGAGAUAACCCAGCUGAGGGGGGAGGUGAGGCAACUCCGGACAGAAGUUUCUAUUGAAAAGAAACAGAGGGAAGAUUUAAAGGUGCGCUUGGUUGCACAAAAAGAGGAGCUAGAACGGGAGUUUGCUGUAGAGAGGGAGGAAAUUGAAGCAGAAUAUCAAAAACAAGAGGAUGAUACGUUCAUCUUUGGGUAUCGGUGUUGCAUGAAGAAGAACGGUAUCAAGCGGGACGUGCCUUCAAUUCCUCCGGGUGAAGAAAAGAAAUUUUAUGACAAGCCUGCUCCCUGACAGUUUCUCUUUUUGCAAUUUCUCCUGUAAUCUUCCUUUUGUAUUUUUGUGGUCCGAAGACCUCCUUUGUACAUAUUUUUAGCUAUAUCAAUAAAAAUACUUCUUUUCUCAUUUGAACUUGUCUUGGCUUUCUUAUUGAUAAUACUGCUUUAAAUUAGACACAUUCCAUGGUCUAAGUAAUGGAGUUCCGUCUAGCUUUUGUAAAUGAUAGGCUCCAUUGUCACUUGCUUUAGACACUAUAUAAGGUCCUUCCCAGUUGGCUUGGAACUUCCCUACACCCACUUCAGUAGUAUUUUCAAAAACUUUUCUAAGGACUAGUGUACCAUUUUUGAAGCUUCUUGGUCUCACUUUGCGAUUGUAAUGUGCUGAUGCCCUUUGUUGAUAAUCUGCCAUCCGGAUGGCCGCGCUUUCCCUCACUUCAUCCGUCCAAUCCAAAUUUCUUCCUAAUUGCAUGUUUGCAUCACUUUGUUUUGCUGCGUCGGUCCGGAUAGUAGGGAGACCUAUUUCGGUAGGAAUAACGGCAUCCAUUCCAUAUGCAAGAGCGAAAGGAGUAUUUCCUGUUGGCCGUCCGGGUGUAGUUCGGUAGGCCCAUAGGACGUCGGGCAGCUCCUCGACCCAUUUUCCUUUGGCUUGCUCAAGCCUUUUCUUUAAGGCAGUGAUUAGGGUCUUGUUUGUGGCUUCUGCUUGCCCAUUGCUUUGAGAAUAUUGUGGUGUGGAGUAUGAGUUCCGGAUGUUUAGCUCUGAACAUAAAUUUCUGAAUGCAAUGCUAUCAAAUUGUGGACCAUUGUCGGCUAUGAUGGUUUGGGGAAUUCCAAAACGGCAGAUAAUAUUUUUCCAUACAAACUUGGUGACAUCCUUGUCUUUGAUGCUAGCAUAUGCUUCAGCUUCCACCCACUUACUGAAAUAAUCUGUGGCAACAAGCAAAAAUUUCUUUUGGGCAGGCGCAGCUGGGAGAGGUCCCACUAUGUCCAUGCCCCACUGUGCGAAGGGCCAUGGACCUGAGAUUGAUUUUAACGUUGUUGAUGGCAUAUGUGGAAUGAGAGCAUACCUUUGACAUUUAUCACAUCUUUUGACAUAUGCUGCCGCGUCUUUCUUCAUUGUUGGCCAAUAGUAUCCUUGUGAAUGGGCUCUAUGUGCCAGAGAUCGUCCUCCCGAAUGAUUUCCGCAUAUUCCCUCAUGUAACUCAGCUAACACAUAUUGAGCUUCUGAAUGCCCUAGGCACCGAAGAUAUGGCCCUAUGAAGGAUCGCUUGUACAGGUGCCCCCCAAUUAAGGUAAAACAGGCAGCUUGCACCCGGACUUUGUGUGCCUGUUUGGGAUCUCCGGGUAGAGUUCUUGUCCGGAUAUAUUCUGUGAUAUCAUUCAUCCAUUCUUGGUCGUCCGCUUGGGGUGCCUCAAUGGUAUUGCAGAUUGAAAUUUCUGAGACAGAGGGGUUGGUUUGCACAUGUAUGGGCAGUAGAAUGGCUUCCUUGAUAGGGAGAGAGGCAACUAUGCCGGCCAAAGCGUCAGCGCGCCUAUUGUCAGCUCGCUUGAUUUUUUCGAUUGUCCAUUCAGUGAAUUGCUGCAAGGUGUUUCUUACUUUAGCUAAGUAUCGCGCCAUGCAUGCGUUCUUAGCCUCAUAUUCCUCCUGGACAUGUUUUACCACGAGUUGUGAGUCGCUGAAGAUCCGGAGUUUGGAGACGGAUAGCGCAAGGGCGAGGUCCAAUCCGGACAAGAUAGCCUCAUAUUCUGCUUCAUUGUUAGAGGCAGAGAAUCCCAGCCGGAUGGCCUGUUCCAAAUGUUCUCCAGUUGGGGACUGCAAUAAGAGCCCGACUCCAGAGCCUGAUGAACGUGAGGCUCCGUCAACUCACAGAGUCCACCAUUCUUUUUUACUUGAUCCUUCAUGUUGGCCGGGUUUUCGGGAAUAUUCUAGCACGAAGUCAGCUAUUACCUGGCCUUUCAUGGACAACCUUGGUUGGAAUUCAAUUCCAAACUCGCUUAAUUCGAUGGCCCAUUGUAGCAUUCUCCCGAUUAAAUCUGGCUUGUGCAGAAUGUUGCGAAGGGGUUGAUCAAUCAACACGAUCACCGGGUGGGCUUGAAAAUAGGGCCAGAGCUUUUGGGCAGCGCUUCGAAGGGCUAAGGCUGUUAGCUCCAUUUUUGAAUAUCUGGUUUCUACGUCUGCCAAUGCCCUGCUGACAUAGUAGAUGGGCUUCUGCUCCUUGGGUGAUGGGCAGCGGAAUAGAACGACACUGAUUGCCCAUUCUGACACUGCCAGAUACAUGUAUAAUUUCUCCUUUGGGAUGAGGCUGCUCAAGAUGGGUGGUUGCAUAAGAUAAUGUUUAAUUCUUUCCAAAGCGUUUUGGCAAUUGUCCGUCCACCCGUGCAUUCCAGCUUUUCGUAUCGCCAAGAAGAAGGGUCGCAACUCAUCAAUGAAGCGGGCUAUGAAACGCCCUAAUGCAACGAGUUUGCCUGUGAGGCGCUGUAACUCUUUCUUGUUCCUGGGAGGGGGUGUUUCCAUGACUGCUUCGACUUGAUCCGGGCUGACUUCUAUGCCCCUUUGGCUGACCAUAAAUCCUAGAAAUUUGCCGGCACUUACGCCAAAGGCGCAUUUAGAAGGAUUUAGCUUCAUGCCAUACCUUCGUAAGAGGUAAAAAACCUUUUGCAAAUGAAGGAUAUGCUGCUCUCGAGUUUUACUUUUAACCACGAUAUCAUCAAUAUAUACUUCUACUGAGUGACCUAUCAGAGGUUUGAAGAUUUUAGUCAUCAAUCUUUGAUAAGUGGCGCCAACAUUUUUGAGUCAAAAUGGCAUGACUUUAUAACAAUAGAGGCCGUGUGGUGUUAUGAAUGCUGUUUUUUCUUCGUCAUCCGGGGACAUGGGGAUUUGAUGAUAUCUGGAGAAGGCAUCCAAGAAAGAGAGCAUCCCUUGGCCGGAAGUGGAAUCCACAAUCUGAUCUAUUCGCGGCAAGGGAAAACUGUCUUUUGGACACGCAUUGUUGAGAUUGGUGUAAUCUACACAAACUCGCCAUUUUCCUUCUUUUUUGGGUACCACGACUACGUUUGCCAACCAAUCCGGAUAAGAAACUUCUUUGAUGAAUCCGGCUUCGAGCAAUUUGUCAAUCUCGUUCCGGAUGACUCUUUGUCUAUCCGGGUGGAAGCGCCUAAUCCUUUGUCGGACGAGUCUGGCAGUUGAAAAGACGUUAAGCCUGUGAGACGUAAUGGAGGGAUGAAUUCCCUUCAUGUCAGAAUGUGCCCAUGCGAAGAUGUCAUGGUUCUGUCUGAGGAUAUUUUGCAUGCCCUGAGUUUCUUCUUGUGUCAUGAGGGAACUGAUGUUCGUGAGGUGAUCGCUUUCCUCCGAAAUUUGGAUUUUUUGUAAGGGAUCUGCUGCCGGGAGAUCUUUGUCCGCCGGACCCAAUAAUUGCUAUUGGUCGUGUGCAAUGCUGGGUUCAGGGGGAGAUGCAUCCUCCUGGUUGGCCCCUGCUUCACAUGCUAUCUGAUAGCACUGGCGAGCGGCUAAUUGGCUGCCAUAUAGGUCGAUUUGACCAUCGUAGGUAAGAAAACUCACCAUUUGAUGGUAUGUAGAGGGGAUAGCUUUCAUGUAGUGGAGCCAUGUGCGCCCCAAAAUGACAUUGAAGGGUGAUAGCUCCUGUACUACUGAAAACUGUACAUUGAGAGUGACUAGGCCAGCUUGAACCGGCAGUAUGAUAUCUCCCAAGGAUGUGGUUGAUGAUCCGUUGAAUCCGGAUAAGAUUCGUCCGGGGUUUUCAAGGCCCACGAGACUAUGUCCCAUGUGGCCAACGACUGAUGCUUGCACCAGGUCGGUCGAACUGCCUGGGUCAACUAAGAUACGCCGCACAUCGAAGUCCCCAAUUUCCAGGGACAAGAUGAGGGCGUCGCGAUGUGGUUGUAGUGUCCGGGUGGGAUCUACUGGUGGAAAAAUUAUUGUUCCAUCUAUGGGGCGAGGGCCCUCUCCAGUUAGACCCGACCGGAUGGAAUUAAUGCGUUCGCGUAUUGAUGCAGCCCGCAACAAUUUUUGCCUUUUCCGCCUGGAGUCAUACUCCUCGUCAGAUGGUCCUCCGCUAAUAUAGUUGAUAACGGCCUUGGUGGCAACUGGGGCCCUAGGGGCUCCAGGGUUGUUGUGCUGGGAAACGUCCCUACCCCCAGUAUCCGUGCGGAGGUAUUGCUUCAAAUGCCCAGCUUUUAUGAGUCUUUCGACCAAAUACUAGAAAGAUCGACACGUCUCUGUUGUAUGGCCAUGAUCUUUGUGGAAGGCACAUCUCUUGCUACGAUCCCUUGUAGAUGGGUUCGUUGCAAUGGGUCUAGGCCACUUGAAGUCGGACAAGCCUUGGAUCAUUGGGAGAAGUUUCUCAUAUGAUAUAGAAAGAGGUGAGAGGCGGCAUUUUCGGGCGACUUGGCCCUUCCUGCCUUCGGUCAGACGGCUUUGGCUGAUCCGGAGGUUUGGUAUUUCUCUCCGUAUUACUUCCGGAUGGCCGUCCGGCAACCAAAACUUGUUGGGUGGCUGCACGUAUGUCAUCUUCGAGCAUUGAAUAUUUGUUGGCUCGUCUGAAUAAGUCGUCCAUCGUAGUAGGAGGCUUUUUAGCCAGUGAUUCGAAAAAUGGAGUGCCUGGACAGAUGCUUCGUUUGAAGAUCUGUAGGACAACAUCCAUACUGCAAGCUUCCACUUGAAGUACGGCUUGGCCAAACCACUUCACAAAUUCCCUUAAGGAUUCGUUAUCUUGCAUUUUUAUGUUCUGCAAGGUGCUGAUAUUUUGCUUGUGUCAGGCGAAGCACAGGUAUUGUCCCACGAAAGCUUCGGACAAGUCCCUGAAAUUGCCAACAGAGUUGGGAGGUAGGUGAUGAAACCAUGAGAGGGCCUGUCCUUGUAGGCUGGCGGGAAAUACUUUGCAUAGCAGCGCAUCGUUGCCAAUAUCGAGCGUCAUGAGCUGUCGAUAAUGCAUGAUGUGAUCGAAGGGAUCGUUGGUUCCAUCGUAUAUGGAAAAUUUUGGUACGAGGAAUCCCCUUGGGGGCUCAUAGUUAAUGAUAUGAGAGCAGAAAGGCGUGGAGAGCAUGUCAUCCAGCCUUUUGCUGAUGGAGCCAACGGGUGGCCCGUUUGGGAUGUUUCUCCCAGUUGGCUGUUCCGCUGGGUGUAGAUGAACGUUCCGCAUCACAGGGGUGACUAUGGGGUCACGAUGCGGGUGAUCGUUUUGCACCAUGGGGGUUGCCAUGGGGUCAGGGCGUGGUGCCCAGGUUGUGGCCAUAGGUGGCCUUGAUCUUCUAGGUUCUUGCGGGCCUAGUUUUGCGCGCAUCGAAUUUGACAACCGCGACUUUUUAUCACGUUGCCUUUUUGCUGAAAAGUGAGUAGAGUCUGAGCUUUCCUCACGGGGAGCUCGAGGCAUAGGCGUGCGUGGCUCAUGAGGCCUCACGUUGCAUGCCCCUGGGAUUGCCCCUGUUGUCCCAGGGUAUAUUGACUCCGGUUUUUGCUGAGGCCUUGAGUUUGCUACUUGGCCCCUCGAAUGUUGACGUCGAGGAGGCUUUGAUGUUGAAGCCUGGAUGCGUAACACAGCGUUUUCUUCUCUCAAUCUUUCUGUCUCCUGGAGAAGAGCUUUUAGCUGUCUUUCGCUUGCCAACUGUCUCCUUUCAAUGGCUAGGCGCCAUUCAAAAUUAUCAUCCUCUCCCCUACCAGAUGAACGACUUUGGGAUGGUGUGACCAUAUUUUUUAGUGACUGAAUCAAAGUAAAGAAAAGUUCCCACAGACGGCGCCAAUGUUGUUACCUCGCGUCUUUGGCGAUCCACGUAGUAGCCAGAUGGAUGGACGCGUGAUCUCAACUCAUAAAGGUCCUUGAUCCAGUCUUCAUUCCUGCAAGAAGGCAUUCGGACAGGGUAUCCGGACGCACCCUCCGAUGGUUUUGUUAGCCAUGGUCAGAGAGAGGAAUAUAAAUCAGUUGGCCUUUUACUAGGUAUUAAGAAGUUACCAGGAGGAUCCGCUUCUUCUUCGUGCGAAGGCAUAUAUAUACAGCUUCAGGGGUACUGUUCCUCUCAUUAAUGGUGAGGAGAUAUUUUAUGUUUGUCAUGAUGACAUUUGGAGGCAGCAUGGUCAUCGCCACCCUACUGGCGGCUGUCAGAAACCGUGGUAGGUGAUGCUGCUGUCUAGAUAUCGUGGGAAAUGAUCAUGUAGAAUGAUCGUGGGAAGUGACUUGUUGUCACCUCAACCCGUCCUUUCACUCUGCAGAUGAUGGGACGUGGGCCAUGGCUGGUUGUCGUGAUAGCGUGUAAGACUUGCUUUACUUUAAUUGAUGAUCCGGACGAUUAAAUCCGGAUGGUCACAUGCUGAUUAUCCGGAUUGUAUAGUGGAGCGGAUACAUUAUGAAGGUUGUCUGGAUGUCUAUGCUCUGUCAGCGUCGUUUGCUCUUCCUUGGACAGAAGAAGCUGAAACGUCAUGUGCUUUUCCUUGAGGCGGUCCGGAUAGGAGAACCAUCAUCAUGCGUAUCCUUAGGGGAAUCCGGAUGAUGAUGGUCCGGCUGAUAACACGUGAUGCGUGUCACUGUGAGGUGCGUGCCACGUGUUUCCCAGAGGGAGGGGUCCCUACAAGCAUCAUCUUACAUUACUGGCCAGACCAUUUGUGCUGAUGGUGGGAUGAGUGUUAAUGGUUUCGAUCCGAGUCAAUGCUAGAAACAACUAGCAUUUAUAUAUGUUGUUUUCUCAAACCUGGUUUUAUGUUCCUUCACCGCUUCUGUUUUGAGGUUAUUUGCUUGUGAUAGUGACCUUGCGCUCCUAGGGGUUAAUACAUGGUUACCAAAUAAUAAUAAGUCUAUGCUUCCAAUAAAUAUUGAAAAUUUUCUUAUUAUUCAAUCACAGAUUUCUACUUUCUCCACCAAUCAUAGAUGCAGUUUAUGUCUCCGGUGCUAUCCCCAGUCACCCGCCUACAUCUCCAGUCAAUUGCAACCCUUCUCUACCAACUUUAAUGGUUCAAUGGCAGUAUCCAAAUUCAUAUACAAGCUGUUGGAUUGGGAAGCCUGAAUCAAUUUUAUUACGUUUCUCUCUUCGAUUAGUUUUGUUGGAUUGGAAUGACUAGGCCUUGUUUAGUUGGGUAGCCUCUGUUCAUUUGUUUAUGUGUCACCUGUGAUUCUAUUUUGGCCUUGGUUUGAGCAUCUAUGGCCGCUGUUAGUUUCCAUUUUUGUUGUUAUUUUUCUGUUCUGAUGAAAUCCUUGAAAACAUUUGACAAUUUACAUUCAAGGUAGCAUACUAGCAUGGGACACAUCUGUAUCAUUAGUCAGAAGAACAAAUGAUGCUUGGUUGCAAUUAAUCUUGGAGAAUGAGCUACCGCUAACUACACAAACUGAUAUGAUAAUUAACCAGUAUUUCAUGAAGGUAAGACCUUUAGCUGUAAAAAAUGAAGCUGAGCCACCAUGCUAUGAAGCUUCGUCAUUGAAAUCAAUGAAAUGUGUCACAAAUUAAAAUUAUAAUAUUUAAUUUCACAUUUAUUUCUAUAAUAAUUAUAUAAUGAUAAUUAUAAAAUUAAUAUAAUUAAUUACUAUAAUAAUUUCAAAAUAAUAAAAUACAAAGACAUACAAAUAAAAUUAAAUACUAUAAUUUUUUAAUUUUAAAUAUAUCUUUAUACUUAAAUAUUAUAUAUGUUAUAUUUAAUAAAAUUUAAAAUAUUAAUACAUUUAUAUUUAUCUUCAUCAUUUUAUUUUAUAUAUCA